GACGAACGCUGGCGGCGUGCCUAACACAUGCAAGUCGAACGGGACCGGGGCAACUCCGGUUCAGUGGCGAACGGGUGCGUAACACGUGAGGAACCUGUCUUUCGGCGGGGAUAGCCGGCCCAACGGCCGGGUAAUACCGCGUACGCUCUUCGGGGGCAGUCUCCUGGAGAGGAAAGCAGCAAUGCACCGAAAGAGGGCCUCGCGGCCUAUCAGCUAGUUGGUGAGGUCAUGGCUCACCAAGGCGACGACGGGUAGCUGGUCUGAGAGGAUGGCCAGCCACAUUGGGACUGAGACACGGCCCAGACUCCUACGGGAGGCAGCAGUGGGGAAUCUUGCGCAAUGGGCGAAAGCCUGACGCAGCGACGCCGCGUGUGGGAUGACGGCCUUCGGGUUGUAAACCACUGUCGGGAGGGGCGAAGCUCUGACGGUACCUCCAAAAGGAAGCACCGGCUAACUCUGUGCCAGCAGCCGCGGUAAUACAGAGGGUGCGAGCGUUGUCCGGAAUCACUGGGCGUAAAGGGCGCGUAGGCGGCCUGAUAAGUCGGGGGUGAAAUCCUGUGGCUUAAACCACAGGGCUGCCUCCGAGACUAUCGGGCUCGAGCACAGUAGAGGCAGGUGGAAUUCCCGGUGUAGCGGUGGAAUGCGUAGAGAUC
rnacentral:rRNA from 1 species